rnacentral:rRNA from 1 species
AUGGCGUCCUAUCUUAUGAAUCCGGCAUCUUCGUGCACCCCUAUAUCCUCUCGUUCCCAGUCAUCCAAUUUAAAUCCUGCGUGUCUGCUCAGUCGUAGGAAUUUUUGCACUAAGCCGCCCGCCUCCGGUGCAGCAAUGGGAUCUACAAAUAUGUGGCAGAUGCACAUGAACGAGGAAGGAUUUAAUACACCCAUAAAGAAAGCAAGUGUUCCUCUCUGUUGCUCGUCCUUUAUACCUGAAUGUGAAGAUGAUUUGAAGCCUAAAGUGGGGAUGACAUUUGAAGGAUUGAAGGCUGUGGAGGAGUUCUACAAAUCUUAUGCACAUCAAUCUGGUUUUGGAGUUCGUAUUGGGCAACAGAAGAAGUUAGAAAAUGAGGUAGUUCGCACUAAACGAUACAUGUGUAAUAGACAAGGAUUCAAGUUUGAAAUGGUAACAAGAUUGAUGAUCCAUCAAAGAAGAGGCGUAAGAACACAGACACAAGGUGCGGUUGUGAUGCACACAUCUUUGAGUUGGAGGAAACAAUUCACUCUCUAUUGA